GGCCAAGUUUUUAAGGGCGCACGGUGGAUGCCUUGGCACCAGGAACCGAUGAAGGACGUGGGAGGCCACGAUAGGCCCCGGGGAGCUGUCAACCAAGCUUUGAUCCGGGGGUGUCCGAAUGGGGAAACCCGGCAGUCGUCAUGGGCUGUCACCCGCUGCUGAACACAUAGGCAGUGUGGAGGGAACGCGGGGAAGUGAAACAUCUCAGUACCCGCAGGAAGAGAAAACAACCGUGAUUCCGGGAGUAGUGGCGAGCGAAACCGGAUGAGGCCAAACCAGUCACGUGUGAUACCCGGCAGGGGUUGCGUGGUUGGGGUUGUGGGAUCUCUCUUCUGUUGUCUGCCGGCAACAGGACGAGUCAGAAACCGUUGAUGUAGGCGAAGGACAUGCGAAAGGUCCGGCGUAGAGGGUAAGACCCCCGUAGCUGAAACAUUAGCGGCUCGUUUGAGAGACACCCAAGUAGCACGGGGCCCGAGAAAUCCCGUGUGAAUCUGGCGGGACCACCCGUUAAGCCUAAAUAUUCCCUGGUGACCGAUAGCGGAUAGUACCGUGAGGGAAUGGUGAAAAGUACCGCGGGAGCGGAGUGAAAUAGUACCUGAAACCGUGUGCCUACAAGCCGUGGGAGCGUCGC
rnacentral:ncRNA from 1 species